UGGGUCUCAGGAUGCAGUGAGUAGCUGAUGUCAUGGUUCAGCAGGCUGUCAGUGGCCUGGGACUGUCCUGCAUGACUUUUGCUUCUGCUGUGUUAUCCAGCCUCAAUUCUGCCUACUUUUUAUCCUGCAUGGCUUGGAACUGGAAUCUGUCAUCACUGGCCUCUGCUUGGUGUUUGUUUCAGAAUUCGUGAAUGGAGACUUAGUCCAGAAAAAGGAGGGGACAGAUGAGUA
rnacentral:lncRNA from 1 species